ACCCCUUGGGGGGGCAGCCUAACACAUGCAAGUCGAGCGGUAACAGGGGAAGCUUGCUUCCCGCUGACGAGCGGCGGACGGGUGAGUAAUGUAUGGGGAUCUGCCCGAUAGAGGGGGAUAACUACUGGAAACGGUAGCUAAUACCGCAUAAUCUCUCAGGAGCAAAGCAGGGGAACUUCGGUCCUUGCGCUAUCGGAUGAACCCAUAUGGGAUUAGCUAGUAGGUGAGGUAAUGGCUCACCUAGGCGACGAUCCCUAGCUGGUCUGAGAGGAUGAUCAGCCACACUGGGACUGAGACACGGCCCAGACUCCUACGGGAGGCAGCAGUGGGGAAUAUUGCACAAUGGGCGCAAGCCUGAUGCAGCCAUGCCGCGUGUAUGAAGAAGGCCCUAGGGUUGUAAAGUACUUUCAGUCGGGAGGAAGGCGUUGAUGCUAAUAUCAUCAACUAUUGACGUUACCGACAGAAGAAGCACCGGCUAACUCCGUGCCUUCAGCCGCUGUAAUACGGAGGGUGCAAGCG
rnacentral:rRNA from 1 species